rnacentral:rRNA from 2 species
CCCUUCGGGGGACAAAGUGACAGGUGGUGCAUGGUUGUCGUCAGCUCGUGUCGUGAGAUGUUGGGUUAAGUCCCGCAACGAGCGCAACCCUUAAGCUUAGUUGCCAUCAUUAAGUUGGGCACUCUAGGUUGACUGCCGGUGACAAACCGGAGGAAGGUGGGGAUGACGUCAAAUCAUCAUGCCCCUUAUGAUUUGGGCUACACACGUGCUACAAUGGACAAUACAAAGGGCAGCUAAACCGCGAGGUCAUGCAAAUCCCAUAAAGUUGUUCUCAGUUCGGAUUGUAGUCUGCAACUCGACUACAUGAAGCUGGAAUCGCUAGUAAUCGUAGAUCAGCAUGCUACGGUGAAUACGUUCCCGGGUCUUGUACACACCGCCCGUCACACCACGAGAGUUUGUAACACCCGAAGCCGGUGGAGUAACCAUUUAUGGAGCUAGCCGUCGAAGGUGGGACAAAUGAUUGGGGUGAAGUCGUAACAAGGUAGCCGUAUCGGAAGGUGCGGCUGGAUCACCUCCUUUCUAAGGA